GGAUUCCCCUAGUAACUGCGAGUGAAGAGGGAUGAGCUCAAAUUUGAAAUCUGGCGGUCCCUUUUUGAACCGUCCGAGUUGUAGUCUGGAGAAGCGUCGUCGGCGUCGGACCGUGUCCAAGUCCCUUGGAACAGGGCGUCGCAGAGGGUGAGAAUCCCGUCUCUGACACGGACUGCCGGGGCCAUGUGAUGCGCUCUCGAAGAGUCGAGUUGUUUGGGAAUGCAGCUCAAAUAGGGUGGUAAACUCCAUCUAAAGCUAAAUACCGGCGAAAGACCGAUAGCGAACAAGUACCGUGAGGGAAAGAUGAAAAGCACUUUGAAAAGAGAGUUAAACAGGACGUGAAAUUGUUGAAAGGGAAACGCUUGGAGUCAGUCGCGCGUCCCUCCAGAGUCAGCCCCACAGCUCUGUGGGGUGCAUUUCUGUGGGGGACGGGCCAGCAUCGAUUUGAACCCUCGAAGAAGGGCGGCGGGGUCCACCUCCUUUUGGGAGCGGCCUUGCCGUCGCAAGCGAGGGUUUGGAUCGAGGGCCGCAGCACGUCGUGUCCGUUUUUCUUUUAAAACGGCUCGGUCCCGGGGGGUCGUCCCACGAUUUCUAAUGUGCUUAGGAUGCUGGCGUAAUGGCUUCAAGCGACCCGUCUUGAAACACGGACCAAGGAGUCUAACAUGCCUGCGAGUGUUUGGGUGGAAAACCCGAGCGCGUAAUGAAAGUGAGAUCGGGCUUUAUCGUUCGAGAGUUGGGAACCGCCUUGGAGUGUGGUGCACCGACGCCCGGGCCAGAGGCCAUUACCGGCUGAAGGCCCCGAGGUAGAGCACGCAUGUUGGGACCCGAAAGAUGGUGAACUAUGCCUGAGGAGGGCGAAGCCAGAGGAAACUCUGGUGGAGGCUCGUAGCGGUUCUGACGUGCAAAUCGAUCGUCGAACUUGGGUAUAGGGGCGAAAGACUA
rnacentral:rRNA from 1 species